CUCAAGAAAAGUAUAGGUGCAAUCAGAAAGGAUUAUAGUAAAAUGUCUCCUGAGUAGGGUUGUCCUGUGUUUUCAGAAUUCAGAUGGAAAAUUCCUGGAAGUUACCGAAUUUUGCAUGCAACCCUACUCCUGAGGGUUUCUGUAGAAUCCGAUAAUGAGUUGUGAACAACUGUAGUCAUUCUGGCUCUAAACAGCAGAUGGCGAUCUUCACAACCCUGAUUCGUAUGACAUAUUCACGAGCGAUUGUCAUUGCAUGUGGGGCAGACAAACCGGAAUAUGCAUUCUCAACUUUAAUUCAUCCCUCCUCAAUUUCAACCUCAUGUCAUUACAUUCUAACAUGAAUAUGACCAGAUGAAUGGCAUUUGUCUCCUUGUUUAAAAUGUGUCGUUAUGGAGAUACUGUAUUUGCAAAUGGGCAGCGCUAUGUCUCUUAUUCACACUAAUGCUUGUGUAUACAGUGCAUGACCUCUGUUGGUGUCGAUUGAAUUGACACUCGUUUCUCAUGUGUUGCAGGGUCUCUCAGGUUCGGUGGCAAUAGCUGGCAGUAAAGGCCUAAAGGGAUUCCAGGGCAUUGCUGGAGAGCCAGGUCCAGACGGCCCCUCAGGACCUCCGGGCACACCUGGACGGAUAGGACCAACAGGUAUCCCUGGGCCGCUGGGAGAGAGGGGCUUCACUGGGAAGGAAGGUGUGGAGGGCCCACAGGGCUCAGUAGGCACGUAUGUAAGUGAUGCUUCUGUAGGGCGUACAGGGCCAAGGGUUUGAUCAGCACACUGAGAAUGUCUCUGUUUUGUCCUCGUGUGUGCUUGUGCGCGCGCAUGUGUGUGUGUGUGUGUGUGUGUGUGUGUGUGUGUGUGUGCAGCGUCCUUAUAUUACCACUCCCGUGUCUCUCUUGCCCCCAGG
rnacentral:lncRNA from 1 species